rnacentral:tRNA from 1 species
GAGCUGGAGCUCAGUGGUAGAGCACUUGCCUCACAUGUCUGAGGCACUGGGUUCAAUCUUCAGCACCACA